rnacentral:rRNA from 1 species
AUUGAACGCUGGCGGCAGGCCUAACACAUGCAAGUCGGGCGGUAACAGGAAUCAGCUUGCUGAUUCGCUGACGAGCGGCGGACGGGUGAGUAAUGUCUGGGAAACUGCCUGAUGGAGGGGGAUAACUACUGGAAACGGUAGCUAAUACCGCAUAACGUCUACGGACCAAAGUUGGGGACCUUCGUGCCUCAUGCCAUCAGAUGUGCGCAGAUGGGAUUAGCUAGGAGGUGGGGUAACGGCUCAACUAGGCGACGAUCGCUGGCUGGUCUGAGAGGAUGACCAGCCACACGGGGACUGAGACACGGUCCAGACUCCGACAGGAGGCAGCAGUGGGGAAUAUUGCACAAUGGGCGCAAGCCUGAUGCAGCCAUGCCGAGUGUAUGAAGAAGGCCUUCGGGUUGUAAAGUACUUUCAGCGGGGAGGAAGGUGUUGUGGUUAAUAACCGCAGCAAUUGACGUUACCCGCAGAAGAAGCACCGGCUAACUCCGUGCCAGCAGCCGCAGUAA